CUAAGUCGAACGAUGGGCUGGUGAGGCACAUUGAAAAAGAGAGUCAAUAAAGCAAGACUUCUUGGCAGCUGGGGACUCUGGGACUUCUUCCUGC
rnacentral:lncRNA from 1 species